rnacentral:tRNA from 1 species
GCGGCGGUAGUCUAGCCUGGUUUAGGAUGGCGGCCUUCCACGCCACCACGAAGAAAGCCGUUGAUCCCGGGUUCGAAUCCCGGCCGCCGCA